rnacentral:lncRNA from 1 species
GCUGGCUCAGCAGUAUUUUAUUUUAUUUUAUUCUAUUCUAUUUUAUUUUAUUUUAUUUUAUUUUUAUUUUAUUUUUAGUCCACAGACUUAUUUAAUCUACCUUCAAGUCCUGCCUCCAAGUCAUUUAUGAAAACAUCAAAGUGAACUAUCCCUAAAAUGGAGACCUGCAGAACCCCAGUAGCGUCUGGCCACUAGCCUGGUGUAACCCCAUCAUUACCAUUAUCAUUAGGGCUGUGACUUUUUCCACACUGUUGGGAGAAAAAAGAUACACAACUGUAGAAAAGAGUGAAAAGGAAAGCAACAGACCUAUUCUAGCAGGCAACCUAGUCUUUUUUUAUACUUUCUUUUUAAUUUUUUUUGAAUCAUAUAGCCUCAAUGUGAAUGUGAAGGUGACCAUAUAGCUUUUAUCUCACCUCAUACCCUGGUGUGCCUUAAACCAAAUGGUGCUGAUGAAGAGGCAGACAGGAGUCACCCGAUCUGCAGGUGCCACCAGGAAAGACACAGGUGAAACACACAUUGAAGCUUGUAAGCCUCCACUGUUCAAUUCACUCAUGGCCAUUACCAUCUCUAAGCAUAGGUGAUGUGCCCGCUGUUGUUUGUGUGCUGGGAAACUGGGAAAGUGUUAUUCUAAGGUGAGACACAAAGAGCUACUAAUGUACAAACACCCUUUGUACUGAAAAGUAAAACCCACUCAUUUCACUUAACCUGGAUCUAGCCCUUACUACAUCUGGGUUCAGCUCCAGCCUCAAUCACUUAAAUGUAGUUGUGUCUACAAAAUAGGUCUCUAGUCAACUACCCAAACUUAGGUAUCUACAGUGAUUUGAGGUACCCAGGGGUUUUCCAGGCAUCUACAGAAGAGGGGCAAAUACAAGACCUCUCAGGGAUGCAUGUUCUUCUGGAGUGGCAAGAAAAGAUUUGGCACAGUUUCUCAAAUACUACUAGCAGUCUCCUUCAGCAAGUGAAUCACAUUCUUAAUCAGUACAGUUAAUUACAUAGAAGAUGUGAUUUAUCUGACCAAAUGUAAAUACCUGUUUCAAGAGGCACAUAAUCCAUCUCUUGGAUCAUUUGGUUAUAACAGUUACAAUUGACUAUAAAAGUUAGUUCUUCAGUGGCUUUAGUGAGAGCUUAGACAUGUAGACACCAACAUUAAAACGUCUAAUCUGGAGCUGAAUCCUUCUUCCAGUUCUUGAGGAAUCAGACAGCUCAAGCAUAAUUUGUGUUGUGUUGACAAUUCUUUGUAUCUUUAAUAAUUCAGCAACCUUUGAUGGCUCCUGUAAAGAAU